AGAAGAAGGCUAUUUCAACAUGCCUGUAUCAUCACAUUUAAGGUUAUUUUUGUCUUUUCAAUAUUCAAAUAUAGCUAGGUGUCUUGCUUUGGUGUCUUGUCCUUUCAAUGCUUUAUUAUAGAUUAGGUGUCUUGUGCAUAGAUAUUGUCAAUGACACAUCAUUAGCUUCAUGUUUUAACUUUCUUCCUUUAUUGCUUUUUUACUUUGCUUGCUGAAAAUCUCUUCUAUGUUUUUACCAUUCAUCCCAGCUGUAAUCGUUAUUCUCUAUUUAUUCCCUCUUCUUCGCCACUCCUCCGGCAACGAAAACCAGCUGCUCCAGCUACAACUCUGGCGAAGAAUCCCACAACGGUCAACGCUCGCCGAAGUCCGUUCUACGGUGUGCUUCAACUUCAUUUAAUGAAUCUCAGAAUAACGAGGAAGCUUAAGCUGAGUCAUUAUCAAUUUUACUCUCCGAUAUCAGGGACAAAAAUGACAUUUCCAUGUCGGAGAACUUCUGCGAUUUACCACCGUUCGAGAGUUUCUUCCCCAAUGAUUUGUUUCAGUUCGAGAACCCGGUUACCAUAUCCGACUUGUUUUUUGAACCGGAUACUUUACCCGACUGCAAUAACAUGUUAUUCGGAUCAAGUACUACUAAUUGUGGUUUCGGAUCUUCAUCCUGGCCCGUAGAGGACUUCUUUCAGGAUUUCGGAGAUGUAUUCGGGUCUAACCCGCUUGUGCCUCUUUGAUUUCAUCGGCAGAUUAAUCGGCGAUAAGUAUAAAUGGUUUAAUAUUCAUAAUUUUAAAAUUUAAUUUUGUGUUUAGUUUACCAGUUUUGUUUAAAUUUGUUGGAGAGUAAUUACCAGAUGAAGGUGGUGAAAGGAGAUUACGGCUAUGUUCUUGAAGAUGUUCCUCAUUUGACUGAUUAUAUCCCUGAUCUUCCUGUAUUGUUCUUGUAUUCUCUCUUUUUUUUUCUCUUAAUUUCUGAAUGAUAUUGAGUGCGUUUGUGUUUAGAUGUUGUAUGUGUGAAUCUCUAAUUGUUUGAUUUUGUCAUUUUGUAAUGUUGAUUGAUUCGGUUUGUUUAGUUGUUGUAUCUUGUGUUGUUUGUCCUUCAUUUGAUCCAUUUUGGUGUUUUGUGCUUCGUUAAUAACAAUAAACGACUUUAGCAAUUAUUAAUUAUUAUUA